rnacentral:rRNA from 1 species
UACGGAGGGUGCGAGCGUUGUCCGGAAUCACUGGGCGUAAAGGGCGCGUAGGCGGCCUGAUAAGUAGGGGGGUGAAAUCCUGCGGCUUAACCGCAGGGCUGCCUUCUAAACUGUCGGGCUCGAGCACAGUAGAGGCAGGUGGAAUUCCCGGUGUAGCGGUGGAAUGCGUAGAGAUCGGGAAGAACAUCAGUGGCGAAGGCGGCCUGCUGGGCUGUUGCUGACGCUGAGGCACGAAGGCCAGGGGAGCAAACGGG